UCCUGCUAACAUGGGUUUAAAUCCUGUUUCUACC
rnacentral:tRNA from 1 species